UUUUAGGGAUCUUGCUCACAUGGUGAUUCUUGUAAAUACCUUCAUCCCAAUAACAGUCAGCAGAAUACAGUUUUGAUUGAUACUAAUCAAUCUUCGACUUUUCAAGAGAAUCAGUCGGUUGGAGGCAGCUCCUUGCCAGAUGUGGUGGUCAGAGAUCAUACGGGAGCGUCAUCGAGCAAUCUACCUCCAUCCCUAAUGCCUCCUCCAGAGGGUGGACAUCCGCGGCUUCCUUUUGUAGGCUGGGGAUAAGUUCAACUUUUUUUGUACGGAUAACUUCCUAGAUCCUAGUAAACUUGGUUUGAACUAGUUGACAUACUUCUAGUUAAGUUUCAUCAAGGCUUGUAGGAUUGUACCUUGUGUUUUAUAGUACUGACUGAAACAUGUUGUUCAUAUCAUUUCCAAAGAGAAUGUGUUGUAUCUUGUACUAUAGUUCCUUUUUCAAGAAAUGCUUGUUUCGUUUGAUU